GACGAACGCUGGCGGCGUGCCUAAUACAUGCAAGUCGAACGCUUUUUCUUUCACCGGAGCUUGCUCCACCGAAAGAAAAAGAGUGGCGAACGGGUGAGUAACACGUGGGUAACCUGCCCAUCAGAAGGGGAUAACACUUGGAAACAGGUGCUAAUACCGUAUAACACUAUUUUCCGCAUGGAAGAAAGUUGAAAGGCGCUUUUGCGUCACUGAUGGAUGGACCCGCGGUGCAUUAGCUAGUUGGUGGGGUAACGGCUCACCAAGGCAACGAUGGAUAGCCGACCUGAGAGGGUGAUCGGCCACAAUGGGACUGAGACACGGCCCAGACUCCUACGGGAGGCAGCAGUAGGGAAUCGUCGGCAAUGGACGAAAGUCUGACCGAGCAACGCCGCGUGAGUGAAGAAGGUUUUCGGAUCGUAAAACUCUGUUGUUAGAGAAGAACAAGGAUGAGAGUAAAACGUUCAUCCCUUGACGGUAUCUAACCAGAAAGCCACGGCUAACUACGUGCCAGCCGCCGCCGUAA
rnacentral:rRNA from 1 species